rnacentral:lncRNA from 1 species
GGGGAAGAAAAGGCUCGCUAGCAAAGCAACUGAGAGACGGGCCCCUUCAGCGUGCACACGAUGGGGGAUUGUUCUGGAACAUGGUGAGGGCCUGGGAUGGAGAGGAGGGGAGGCGAGGAGUCCGGCGCCAUCGGUGCAGCCGCAGUGGGGCGGGAGGGCCAGGGACACACCAAAAAGCCACCGCGCUGGCUGCCGCGACAGCUGUCGAUGGGCAGCUCAGUCCUCACCGCCGGGGAGCAGAAAACAGAGAUCGCAGAACCUCCCCAAGUGCGCACCUGUCUGUCCCUUUCCAGAGGAGCCUUCCGUGGGGCCGCUCAGCCAAAGGGCAGCCACAGAUGUUGGAUCCAGAGCCUCCAGGCCAAAAACAGGUUUUGUCUGCACAGAGAAGCCCACUGUUCUCCAGCCGCUCAGGGAGCCGCCGGCUGCCCUUCCGUGCUCCUUGCAGACACCUCCGGGCCUCUCCUGAACCUCCUUCCUGCUCCUGGAAGGCGGGCACAUCAGUAUGGCACCGUGACUGUGCGAAAGCCAUCCUUUUGGUGAAGCAGUGAGUGUGAUAGAAUAACAGGACAGUUUCUGCACGGGUUGCUGGGCCGGGGGUCCCAGGGGCCGCCCCUCACCCAGAGGACAGGGGCUGUCAUCUUCGCCAUGUCACUGUCCCGCUGCUGACCACAACUCUCCUACGCACUGAGGACUUCUCUCAGCAGCAACCUGUGGCCAUCAGAAACCUCUUCUGGUUUCCAGGCAUCAUAUUAAGAUUCAUCAGAGGCCUGCUCCAUCUCAGGAAUCUGCCCUAGAGGCUUGGGGUGGGGGGCCUCUCACCUGUCUAGGCAGGGAUGGGAGAAAACCCAGGACAAAGGGAGGCGGGAGGUGGUCAGCUUCCUGCUCCUGCCAAGCAGAAAGAACCUGGAUGGCUUCAGCCCAGAGAAGCAGCAGCAAAAGCAGCAGCAGCAAUGCUUUGUGGGAGGUUGGAGGGAGCUGCCUCAGUUUCCCAACAGUCAUAUAGAGAAUCCUGGCAAUGGGGUAUAGGACCAGUGAGUGCUCACCCACACGUUGUGCGGCCCACACCGUUCUCAUAGCGUGAGCCCUCAGAUGCUGUGGUGGGCCUGGAGACGCCUUCAGGACAGGACCCAGGGGUGGGAGGGGACGCCAGCAGAAGACAGGAUCGAUGAAACACCCCAAAGUGCCAGGUUUACUGAGUUCUUUCCAUGGCCCACAGAUUCCAAACUUCUGUGACCUUCAUCCUGCUGCUGCCCCUUUGCUCCUCCUAUUCCAGCUCCCCUUCACCGUUCCUUCAUCAGUCAGGCUCCCAUGUCAGGUCCAUGGCACUGGCUGUGCCCUGGAAGGCUCUUUCUCCAGUAGCCACAUGGCCAGUCUGUCCCCUGCAGUUCUUUUUUUUUUUUUUUUUUUUAAAUAAUUCUCCUUUUUUAUUUAUUUAUUUAUGAUAGUCACAGAGAGAGAGAGAGAGGCAGAGACACAGGCAGAGGGAGAAGCAGGCUCCAUGCACCAGGAGCCUGAUGUGGGAUUCGAUCCCGGGUCUCCAGGAUCGCGCCCUGGGCCAAAGGCAGGCGCCAAACCACUGCGCCACCCAGGGAUCCCUCCUGCAGUUCUUUACUCAAAUGUCAUCUUCUCAACAAAGCAGAGCCAGGGCUGGGGUGAGGUGAGGGAGGCAACAUGGCCUUCCCUGAUUCCUUGGUUUAAAAUUGCAUUAUUGCCACCACGACUAGUUCUCCCUUAUCCUCUCCCCUCCGAAUGCAACACCCUCUCAUUUGUCAUUUA